rnacentral:rRNA from 1 species
UACGGAGGGUGCAAGCGUUGUCCGGAAUCACUGGGCGUAAAGGGCGCGUAGGCGGCUCAUGAAGGCUGUGGUGAAAGUCCGGGGCUCAACCUCGGAUCGGCCGUGGCGACUCGUGGGCUGGAGCACUGUAGAGGCGGGUGGAAUUCCGGGUGUAGCGGUGGAAUGCGUAGAGAUCCGGAAGAACACCAGUGGCGAAGGCGACUUACUGGACACAUAUUGACGCUGAGGUGCGAAAGCGUGGGGAGCAAACAGG